rnacentral:lncRNA from 1 species
GGAGUUAACUCUUGGCGCGACGUUAAGCAUUUGAAUUCCCGCAAAACGUCACUUUUUGUGGGACGUAAUGCGUGUCAUUUUCCGUAAUAAGAAACGUAAUGUGGAAUUUCCAUGCUCCAAUUUCUGUUUCUCCCGCAUGCUAAUUUCUACGCCAUUAAUAUUAGUCAGUGCAUUUGAUUCUACCAGGAUAACAGUCUAAUAACAUAAUAAGAAAUAAAACACAUUACUGUUUCUUUGAGAUCUUCAACAAAUAUCGUAUAGUGAGCAAUCUCAAGACGACUGACCCUUUUGGUGUUACUAAUAUCAUGCAUGUCAAUUAAAAUUUUAUUAUCAUUCAUCAUCCACGAUUUGGUCCGGAUCCGAUUUUUUAUUACAGCAC